rnacentral:rRNA from 1 species
AUUGAACGCUGGCGGCAGGCCUAACACAUGCAAGUCGAGCGAGCGGCGGACGGGUGAGUAAUGUAUGGAUCCUGCCCGAUUGAGGGGGAUAACUGCUGGACACGGUGGCUAAUACCGCAUACUAUCGAAUGACCCAUAUGGGAUUAGCUAGUAGGUGGGGUAAAGGCUGACCUAGGCGACGAUCUCUAGCUGGUCUGAGUGGAUGAACAGCCCCCCUGUGACGGAGACACGGCCCGGACUCCUACGGAGGCAGCAGUGGGGAAUAUUGUACAAUGGACGCAAGCCUGAUGCAGCCCUGCCACGUGUAUGAAGAAGGCCUGAGUGUUGUAAAGUACUUUCAGCGUGGAGGCGUUACCCUCAGAAGAAGCACCGGCUAACUCCGUGCCAGCAGCCGCGGUAAUAC